rnacentral:rRNA from 1 species
AGAGUUUGAUCAUGGCUCAGGAUGAACGCUAGCGGCAGGCUUAAUACAUGCAAGUCGAGGGGUAACAGGGGAGCUUGCUCUCGCUGACGACCGGCAAACGGGUGCGGAACACGUACAGAACCUUCCUUCGAGCGGGGAAUAGCCCAGAGAAAUUUGGAUUAAUACCCCAUAGUAUUACGGAGUGGCAUCACUUUGUAAUUAAAGAUUUAUCACUUGAAGAUGGCUGUGCGGCUGAUUAGGUAGUUGGCGGGGUAACGGCCCACCAAGCCUUCGAUCAGUAACUGGUGUGAGAGCACGACCAGUCACACGGGCACUGAGACACGGGCCCGACUCCUACGGGAGGCAGCAGUAAGGAAUAUUGGUCAAUGGACGAAAGUCUGAACCAGCCAUGCCGCGUGGAGGAUGAAGGCCCUCUGGGUUGUAAACUUCUUUUAUAUGGGACGAAAAAAGAUCUUUCUAGGUCACCUGACGGUACCAUAUGAAUAAGCACCGGCUAACUCCGUGCCAGCAGCCGCGGUAAUACGGAGGGUGCAAGCGUUAUCCGGAUUCACUGGGUUUAAAGGGUGCGUAGGUGGGUUGGUAAGUCAGUGGUGAAAUCUCCGAGCUUAACUUGGAAACUGCCAUUGAUACUAUCAGUCUUGAAUAUUGUGGAGGUCAGCGGAAUAUGUCAUGUAGCGGUGAAAUGCUUAGAUAUGACAUAGAACACCAAUUGAGAAGGC